UACGUAGGGUGCGAGCGUUAAUCGGAAUUACUGGGCGUAAAGCGUGCGUAGGCGGUCGGCAAAGUCAGCUGUGAAAGCCCCGGGCUCAACCUGGGAAUGGCGGUUGAAACUAGUCGACUCGAAUCUGGCAGAGGGGGUGGAAUUCCACGUGUAGCAGUGAAAUGCGUAGAGAUGUGGAGGAACACCGAUGGCGAAGGCAGCCCCCUGGGCUGAGAUUGACGCUCAGGCACGAAAGCGUGGGGAGCAAACAGG
rnacentral:rRNA from 1 species